AGGGGCGGUGGGAGGACGGAGAGAGGGCGCGGUGUGCGGGGAGGAAAAAGCGAAAAAAAAUAACAACACACAAAUAAAAAAAAUAAUAAUAAAAAAAAAAUAAAAAAAAUAUACAAAACAAAAAUUUGUUUUGUGUUGUUUGGCCGCGGGGCCGGCGGCCACGAGGGCCGUGUCCAAAAUUACCACGAGUCUUGCGACCGGGAGCUUCUCAUACCAAUAUAGUACAGAAACUGUUCUAAUAAAUUUUUUUUUUUUUUUUUUUUUUUUUUUUUUUUUUUUUUUUUUUUUUUUUUUUUUUUUUUAACCAAGGCUCCAACCAACGCCGUGGCCUGUGAUCGUCCAAACGACCCCCC
rnacentral:snRNA from 1 species